UUGACAGCCCUGGAGACUGAAAUCCUCUGUUUAUUCUCAGAAUUAGAACAGCCUGUACAGCACUACAGAAGCUUCCAUACACUGCCCUAUCAGAGUGCCUCAGUCCCCUCCCCGUCCCCCUUCCCCUGUAGGGUCAGCCCUAAGUCUGGAAGGGAGUUUAGCCUCCCAGGCCAAGUCAAUCCCAGAUCUUU
rnacentral:sRNA from 1 species